rnacentral:rRNA from 1 species
GUGGAUUAGGUACCCUGGUAGUCCACGCCGUAAACGAUGGAUACUAGCUGUUGGGCGCAAGUUCAGUGGCUAAGCGAAAGUGAUAAGUAUCCCACCUGGGGAGUACGGGCGCAAGCCUGAAACUCAAAGGAAUUGACGGGGGCCCGCACAAGCGGUGGAGCAUGUGGUUUAAUUCGAUGAUACGCGAGGAACCUUACCAAGGCUUAAAUGUAGAUUGACCGUUUUGGAAACAGAACUUUCGCAAGACAAUUUACAAGGUGCUGCACGGUGGUCGUCAGCU